rnacentral:rRNA from 1 species
UGGGGAAUUUUGGACAAUGGGGGCAACCCUGAUCCAGCAAUGCCGCGUGUGUGAAGAAGGCCUUCGGGUUGUAAAGCACUUUUGUCCGGAAAGAAAACGCCGUGGUUAAUACCCGUGGCGGAUGACGGUACCGGAAGAAUAAGCACCGGCUAACUACGUGCCAGCAGCCGCGGUAAUACGUAGGGUGCAAGCGUUAAUCGGAAUUACUGGGCGUAAAGCGUGCGCAGGCGGUCCGCUAAGACAGAUGUGAAAUCCCCGGGCUUAACCUGGGAACUGCAUUUGUGACUGGCGGGCUAGAGUAUGGCAGAGGGGGGUANAAUUCCACGUGUAGCAGUGAAAUGCGUAGAGAUGUGGAGGAAUACCGAUGGCGAAGGCAGCCCCUGGGCCAAUACUGACGCUCAUGCACGAAAGCGUGGGGAGCAAACAGGAUUAGAUACCCUGGUAGUCCACGCCCUAAACGAUGUCAACUAGUUGUCGGGUCUUCAUUGACUUGGUAACGUAGCUAACGCGUGAAGUUGACCGCCUGGGGAGUACGGUCGCAAGAUUAAAACUCAAAUGAAUUGACGGGGUCUGCUGUUUCCUG